AGUGAACGCUGGCGGCAUGCCUAAUACAUGCAAGUCGAAGGAAGUGGCGCACGGGUGAGUAAUAUAUAGCUAAUCUGCCCCUUGCUGGAGGGCAACAGUUAGAAAUGACUGCUAAUACUCCAUAGCAAGGGAUGAGACUAUAUCGUAUCAGCUAGUCGGUGUGGUAACGGCCUACCGAGGCUAUGACGUGUAACUGGUCUGCGAGGAUGAGCAGUCACCUUGGAACUGAGACACGGUAGAAACUCCUACGGGAGGCAGCAGUAGGGAAUAUUGCGCAAGGGGGGUAACCGUGACGCAGCAACGCCGCGUGGAGGAUGACACUUUUCGGAGAGGAAACUCAUUUUGUUAGGGAAGCGGUACCUAACGAAUAAGCACCGGCUAACUCCGUGCCAGCAGCCGCGGUAAUAC
rnacentral:rRNA from 1 species